rnacentral:lncRNA from 1 species
ACAGCUUGACACUCAUGACAUUGGACAACAUUCAAGACUUCACUUUUCGUACAUACAUAUAGACGGUAGAAGACAAGACAAGACAAGACUCCACAUUCAUUACAAGCACAGUAAAACCUUUUAACUUUUCUUACAUCUAUAGGCAGAAGGCAUAAGCCAUUAACCAUAUCAGUUAUCAAUCAUCGUUGCUAUCUCGUGAUGACCAUGAUUCAAGCAAUGAAAGAGCAACUAGAGGUCCAAGGAAAGGAGGGACCGGAGGUGGCCUGCUAAAAGCGACGAGGGGUUCAAUCU